rnacentral:misc_RNA from 1 species
CAGCCUCAGCUACACUAUCGUAUCUAGCAAUUGUCGAAACAAUCUCAUUGUCAAAAACAUUGUCAAAGAGACCAUCUGAGCCCAUCACAAUGGUGUCUCCCUCCAUUAAUUCCAUACUGCUAACCAUUGCAUCAAGGUAUGUCUGCCCAACCAUUUCUGAGCUUAAUUGAUAAGGACAAUCAAAAUAAUGUUCCUGAGUAGGAGUGGAAAAAAUCAUUUGACCUCCACGGACAACCCUUAGUCCACAAUCCCCAACAUUGGCAAUCUUUAGCAAUCCAUUCCUCUCCAGCAUGGCAACAAUUACAGUAGCUGAACCUGUGGAGGAAGUAGCAGCAUGUGCUUUCCGUAAGAGAAUCUUGGGGUCAUCGUUAACCUGCCAAAAGCAAAGAUGCAUCACAGUUUCCACUUUCUAGCAUACAACAUUCAAAUAGAAAGUACAGAUGCUUACUCCCAUCACAAGAAUUUUCUUUGCAGAGAAGUUAAUUAACAAGAAAAUAUCAAUAGAAUCAAAUAUUAUUUUCCUUGUAUGCUACUAUGGCACUACCUCCUCAUCCCCCACGAGACAUGAAGCAUUAGCCAUCAGCUCCUGAGGGAAUAAUGAAGGAUCCACAUUCUGCUCAGCCCAACUGACAACCAUUGCAAUAGAAAGAGAGCAGUCUCAGAUUUCAACAUGGAACACCUGGUAUAAUUUUGCUUCACAUAAACUCUAUUUUGAGAUCUUCGCUCAUAUACCAAAUGAAAAUUUUUUGCUAAUAAGCAAAAUGAACCAGAAUAAUAACAAUAAUUCAAUGUAACCGAUUAGAGUAAUGAUUGUAAACAAAAAGUUGCAGAUAUUACGCAAAUUCCAAGUCCCUUGCAUACACACAAACUUCACACAUGAAAGUAAAAGCGAAAUAAUAAUAGAGAGAAUCAAGAUUUUCUACCCAGAUACACCAUCAGCAACAGCAAUUACUCCCCCAUUGUACUUGCUCACAAAGAACGCAUCUUCCCCUCCUCUCUCAAUCUUGUUGGGAUGAGGGAUGAGAUGAGUUCCAACACAAAACGACACCUCUGAUCUAUGAACAUGGCAAAAGAAAGAUCAACCCUUUGAAAUUUUAAAAUAAGCAAAAAAGUGAAUCAUUAAAGCGAAGCAAAAUCUGCUAACCCAACAGGGCUCAGUUGUGAUGAAGCCAAACAAAGCCACUUAUUCUUCCUAGGAAUUGAAUUUCCAUUUGAUAGAUUACGAACUGAUAAAUGAAAGAGUGGAUGAGACAGAGAAAAUGAAUCCCAGAAAACGGGAAUUGCCAUUUCCCGCUUCGGUUCUCUCUCUCUUUCUCACAGGAUGCCGG